CAAUGGCAUUUCCCUAGUAGCGGCGAGUGAGCGGGAAGAGCUCAAAUUUGUAAUCUGGCGUCUUUCAGGCGUCCGAGUUGUAAUCUAUAGAAGUGUUUUCCGUGCUGGACCAUGUCCAAGUCCCUUGGAACAGGGUAUCAAAGAGGGUGACAAUCCCGUACUUGACAUGACCACCAGUGCUCUGUGAUACACUUUCUACGAGUCGAGUUGUUUGGGAAUGCAGCUCAAAAUGGGUGGUAAAUUCCAUCUAAAGCUAAAUAUUGGCGAGAGACCGAUAGCGAACAAGUACCGUGAGGGAAAGAUGAAAAGCACUUUGGAAAGAGAGUUAAACAGUACGUGAAAUUGUUGAAAGGGAAACGAUUGAAGUCAGUCGUGUUCAUUGGACUCAGCCGGUUUUCGGUGUAUUUCCUUUGAACGGGUCAACAUCAGUUUUGUCCGGUGGAUAAAGGCAGGAAGAAAGUGGCUCCCUCGGGAGUGUUAUAGCUUUCUGUCACAUACACUGGAGGAGACUGAGGACUGCAGCUCGCCUUUUGGCCGGGGUUCGCCCACGUUCGAGCUUAGGAUGUUGACAUAAUGGCUUUAAACGACCCGUCUUGAACCACGAACCA
rnacentral:rRNA from 1 species